GACGAACGCUGGCGGCGUGCUUAACACAUGCAAGUCGAGCGGUAAGGCCCUUCGGGUACACGAGCGGCGAACGGGUGAGUAACACGUGGGUGACCUGCCUUUAGCUCUGGGAUAAGCCUGGGAAACUGGGUCUAAUACCGGAUAUGACCUCAUGAUGCAUGUUGUGGGGUGGAAAGCCUUUGUGCGGCUGGAGAUGGGCCCGCGGCCUAUCAGCUUGUUGGUGGGGUGANGGCCUACCAAGGCGACGACGGGUAGCCGGCCUGAGAGGGCGACCGGCCACACUGGGACUGAGACACGGCCCAGACUCCUAC
rnacentral:rRNA from 1 species